rnacentral:rRNA from 1 species
AUACGGAGGGUGCAAGCGUUACUCGGAAUCACUGGGCGUAAAGCGCGCGCAGGCGGCUAUUUAAGUUGGAUGUGAAAGCCUACGGCUCAACCGUAGAACUGCAUCCAAAACUAUUUAGCUAGAGUGUGGGAGAGGAAGAUGGAAUUAGUCGUGUAGGGGUAAAAUCCGUAGAGAUAACUAGGAAUACCAAAAGCGAAGGCAAUCUUCUGGAACACUACUGACGCUGAGGCGCGAAAGCGUGGGGAGCAAACAGGAUUAGAAACCCCAGUAGUCC